rnacentral:rRNA from 1 species
CCUACGGGAGGCAGCAGUGGGGUAAUUUUGGACAAUGGGCGAAAGCCUGAUCCAGCAAUGCCGCGUGCAGGAAGAAGGCCUUCGGGUUGUAAACUGCUUUUGUACGGAACGAAACGGUCUGCUUUAAUACAGUGGGCUAAUGACGGUACCGUAAGAAUAAGCACCGGCUAACUACGUGCCAGCAGCCGCGGUAAUACGUAGGGUGCGAGCGUUAAUCGGAAUUACUGGGCGUAAAGCGUGCGCAGGCGGUUAUAUAAGACAGUUGUGAAAUCCCCGGGCUCAACCUGGGAAUUGCAUCUGUGACUGUAUAGCUAGAGUACGGUAGAGGGGGAUGGAAUUCCGCGUGUAGCAGUGAAAUGCGUAGAUAUGCGGAGGAACACCGAUGGCGAAGGCAAUCCCCUGGACCUGUACUGACGCUCAUGCACGAAAGCGUGGGGAGCAAACAGGAUUAGAUACCCUGGUAGUCCACGCCCUAAACGAUGUCAACUGGUUGUUGGGUGCAUUAGUACUCAGUAACGAAGCUAACGCGUGAAGUUGACCGCCUGGGGAUCGGCCGCAAGGUUGAAACUUAAGGAAUUGACGG